GAUGAACGCUGGCGGCGUGCCUAAUACAUGCAAGUCGAACGAACAGACGAUAAGCUUGCUCCCUUGACGUUAGCGGCUGACGGGCGAGUGAGACGUGGAUAACCUACUUAUAAGACUGGGAGAACUUCGGGAAACCGGAGCCACUAACGGAUCAUAUAAUGAACGGGAUGGUUCAAUAGUGAUUGACGGCUUUGCUGUCACUUAUAGAUGGAUCCGGGUCGCAUUAGCUAGUGGGUAAGGUAACGGCUUACCAAGGCAACGUUGCGUAGCCGACCUGAGAGGUUGAUCGGCCACACUGGAACUGAGACCCGGUCCAGACUCCUACGGGAGGCAGCAGUGGGGAAUCUUGGGCAAUGGGCGAAAGCCUGACGGAGCAACGCCGCGUGGGUGAUGAAGGUCUUCGGAUCGUAAAGCCCUUUUAUUGGGGAAGAACAGAUGUGGAUUAAACUCUGCACGUUUUGACGGUACCUAAACAGAAAGCCACGGCUAACUACGUG
rnacentral:rRNA from 1 species